rnacentral:rRNA from 1 species
UACGGGAGGCAGCAGUGGGGAAUAUUGCACAAUGGGCGAAAGCCUGAUGCAGCUAUGCCGCGUGUAUGAAGAAGGCCUUAGGGUUGUAAAGUACUUUCAUCGGGGAGGAAAAAACAAAACUAAUAAUUUUAUUUCUUGACGUUACCCGAAAAAGAAGCACCGGCUAACUCCGUGCCAGCAGCCGCGGUAAUACGGAGGGUGCUAGCGUUAAUCAGAAUUACUGGGCGUAAAGAGCACGUAGGUGGUUUUUUUAAGUCAGAUGUGAAAUCCCUGGGCUUAACCUAGGAACUGCAUUUUGAAACUGAAAUACUAGAGUAUCGUAGAGGGAGGUAGAAUUCUAGGUGUAGCGGUGAAAUGCGUAGAUAUCUGGAGGAAUACCUGUGGCGAAAGCGGCCUCCUAAACGAAUACUGACACUGAGGUGCGAAAGCGUGGGGAGCAAACAGGGAUUUAGAUACC